GACAGAGGUGCCAAGCGUUAGGCGGAAUCACUGGGCUUAAAGCGUGUGUAGGCGGACUUGUAAGUACCUUGUGAAAUCCCACGGCUCAACCGUGGAACUGCUUGGUAUACUGCUUGUCUUGAGCCACUUAGGGGCUACCGGAACAAAUGGUGGAGCGGUGAAAUGCGUAGAUAUCAUUUGGAACGCCAAUGGUGAAAACAGGUAGCUGGGAGUGAUGCUGACGCUGGAGACACGAAAGCCAGGGGAGCGAACGGG
rnacentral:rRNA from 1 species